rnacentral:tRNA from 1 species
GCGCCCGUAGCUUAAUGGAUAGAGCAUCUGACUACGGAUCAGAAGGUUGAGGGUUCAAGUCCCCCCGGGCGCG